rnacentral:rRNA from 1 species
ACUCCUACGGGAGGCAGCAGUGGGGAAUAUUGGACAAUGGGCGCAAGCCUGAUCCAGCAAUGCCGCGUGUGUGAAGAAGGCCUGAGGGUUGUAAAGCACUUUCGGUGGGGAAGAAGGUCUAUCAGCUAAUACCUGGUAGAAUUGACGGUACCCAAAGAAGAAGCACCGGCUAACUCUGUGCCAGCAGCCGCGGUAAU